rnacentral:rRNA from 1 species
UCCUACGGGAGGCAGCAGUGGGGAAUAUUGGACAAUGGGCGAAAGCCUGAUCCAGCCAUGCCGCGUGUGUGAAGAAGGUCUUCGGAUUGUAAAGCACUUUAAGUUGGGAGGAAGAGUUGUAGAUUAAUACUCUGCAAUUUUGACGUUACCGACAGAAUAAGCACCGGCUAACUCUGUGCCAGCAGCCGCGGUAAUA